GUUCAUCAUCACCUACGAUGAGCACGGUGGAUUCUUCGACCACGUUCCGACGCCGGUCACCGGUGUUCCUAGCCCCGACGGAAUCGUUGGACCGGAGCCGUUUCUGUUCGGUUUUGAUCGGCUCGGAGUUCGAGUUCCGACCAUCAUGAUCUCGCCUUGGAUAGAGAAGGGCACUGUUGUUCAUGGGCCUAAAGGAUCACCCUUUCAAACAUCAGAGUAUGAACACUCCUCCAUUCCUG
rnacentral:misc_RNA from 1 species